CCUACGGGAGGCAGCAGUAGGGAAUCUUCCACAAUGUGCGCAAGCCUGAUGGAGCAACACCGCGUGAGUGAAGAAGGGUUUCGGCUCGUAAAGCCCUGUUGUUGGAGAAGAACGUGCGUGAGAGUAACUGUUCACGCAGUGACGGUAUCCAACCAGAAAGUCACGGCUAACUACGUGCCAGCAGCCGCGGUAAUACGUAGGUGGCAAGCGUUAUCCGGUUUUAUUGGGCGUAAAGCGAGCGCAGGCGGUCGCUUAGGUCUGAUGUGAAAGGCUUCGGCUUAACCGAAGAAGUGCAUCGGAAACCGGGCGACUUGAGUGCAGAAGAGGACAGUGGAACUCCAUGUGUAGUGGUGGAAUGCGUAGAUAUAUGGAAGAACACCAGUGGCGAAGGCGGCUGUCUGGUCUGCAACUGACGCUGAGGCUCGAAAGCAUGGGUAGCGAACAGGAUUAGAUACCCUUGUAGUC
rnacentral:rRNA from 1 species